rnacentral:rRNA from 1 species
UGCCAGCGCCGCGGUAAUACCGGCAGCCCGAGUGAUGGCCGAUAUUAUUGGGCCUAAAGCGUCCGUAGCUGGCCGAACAAGUCCGUCGGGAAAUCCACGUGCUUAACACGUGGGCGACCGGCGGAAACUGUUCGGCUUGGGGCCGGAGGACCCGAGGGGUACGUCCGGGGUAGGAGUGAAAUCCCGUAAUCCUGGACGGACCACCGAUGGCGAAAGCACCUUGGAAGGACGGAUCCGACAGUGAGGGACGAAAGCUCGGGUCUCAAACCGGAUUAGAUACCCCGGUAGUCC